AAAUUGAAGAGUUUGAUCAUGGCUCAGAUUGAACGCUGGCGGCAGGCCUAACACAUGCAAGUCGAACGGUAACAGGAAACAGCUUGCUGUUUCGCUGACGAGUGGCGGACGGGUGAGUAAUGUCUGGGAAACUGCCUGAUGGAGGGGGAUAACUACUGGAAACGGUAGCUAAUACCGCAUAAUGUCGCAAGACUAAAGAGGGGGACCUUCGGGCCUCUUGCCAUCGGAUGUGCCCA
rnacentral:rRNA from 1 species